GGUGGCUCAGUGGUAGGGUGCUUGCCUUGCAUGCAUGAAGCCCUAGGUUCGAUUCCUGAGUACCA
rnacentral:tRNA from 1 species